rnacentral:rRNA from 1 species
UGGGGAAUAUUGGACAAUGGGGGAAACCCUGAUCCAGCAAUGCCGCGUGAGUGAAGAAGGCCUUAGGGUUGUAAAGCUCUUUCGCCCGCGAAGAUAAUGACGGUAGCGGGAGAAGAAGCCCCGGCUAACUCCGUGCCAGCAGCCGCGGUAAUACGGAGGGGGCUAGCGUUGUUCGGAAUUACUGGGCGUAAAGCGUACGUAGGCGGAUGCGCAAGUUGGGGGUGAAAUCCCGGGGCUUAACCUCGGAAUUGCCCUCAAAACUGCACGUCUUGAUACCGAGAGAGGUAAGGGGAAUUCCUAGUGUAGAGGUGAAACUCGUAGAUAUUAGGAAGAACACCAGUGGCGAAGGCGCCUUACUGGCUCGGUACUGACGCUGAGGUACGAAAGCGUGGGGAGCAAACA